CGAUAGCUGAUCUGAGAGGAUGACCAGCCACACUGGGACUGUGACACGGCCCAGACUCCUACGGGAGGCAGCAGCGAGGAAUAUUGCACAAUGGAGGCAACUCUGAUGCAGUAACGCCGCGUGGGGGAAGAAGACCUUCGGGUUGUAAACCUCUUUUAUUUAGGACGAGUGAGGACGGUACUAAGUGAAUAAGUCUCGGCUAACUACGUGCCAGCAGCCGCGGUAAGACGUAGGAGGCGAGCGUUAUCCGGAUUCACUGGGCGUAAAGCGCAUGUAGGCGGCUCGUUAAGUCGUGUGUUAAAGCCCCUGGCUCAACUGGGGGAGGUCAUGCGAGACUAACGGACUUGAGGGCAGCAGAGGCACGUGGAACUCCCGGUGUAGCGGUGGAAUGCGUAGAGAUCGGGAAGAACACCCGUGGCG
rnacentral:rRNA from 1 species